GACGAACGCUGGCGGCGUGCCUAAUACAUGCAAGUCGAACGCAGUGGGGACGGGUGAGUAACACGUGGGUAACCUCCCAUCAGAGGGGAUAAAACUUGGAAACAGGUGCUAAACCGAUAUUGGUGGAUGGAGCCGCGGGGGAUUAGCUAGUUGGUGAGGUAACGGCCCACCAAGGCCACGAUGGAUAGCCGACCUGAGAGGGUGAUCAGCCACACUGGGACUGAGACACGUCCCAGACUCCUACGGGAGGCAGCAGUAGGGAAUAUUUGGCAAUGGACGAAAGUCUGACCGAGCAACGCCGCGUGAGUGAAGAAGGUUUUCGGAUCGUAAAGCUCUGUUGUUAGAGAAGCGGUAUCUAACCAGAAAGCCACGGCUAACUACGUGCCAGCAGCCGCGGUAAUUC
rnacentral:rRNA from 1 species